UACGUAGGGUGCGAGCGUUGUCCGGAAUUAUUGGGCGUAAAGAGCUCGUAGGUGGUUUGUCGCGUCUGCUGUGAAAACUCAGGGCUUAACCCCGAGCUUGCAGUGGGUACGGGCAGACUAGAGUGCGGUAGGGGAGACUGGAAUUCCUGGUGUAGCGGUGAAAUGCGCAGAUAUCAGGAGGAACACCGGUGGCGAAGGCGGGUCUCUGGGCCUGUACUGACGCUGAGGAGCGAAAGCGUGGGGAGCGAACAGG
rnacentral:rRNA from 1 species